rnacentral:rRNA from 1 species
CCUACGGGAGGCAGCAGUGAGGAAUAUUGGUCAAUGGACGGAAGUCUGAACCAGCCAUGCCGCGUGCAGGAAGACGGCUCUAUGAGUUGUAAACUGCUUUUGGACAAGGGUAAACCUGAAAACGUGUAUUCAGAUGAAAGUACUUUAAGAAUAAGGAUCGGCUAACUCCGGGACAGCAGCCGCGGUAAUACGGAGGAUCCAAGAGUAAUCCGGAUUUAGUGGGUUGAAAGGGUGCGUAGGCGGAUUGAUAAGUUAGAGGUGAAAUGUCCGAGCUUAACUCGGGAACUGCCUCUAAUACUGUUUAUCUAGAGGGUAUAUGCGGUAGGCGGAAUGUAUGGUGUAGCGGUGAAAUGCUUAGAGAUCAUACAGAACACCGAUUGCGAAGGCAGCUUACCAAUCUAUAUCUGACGUUGAGGCACGAAAGCGUGGGGAGCAAACAGGAUUAGAUACCCCUGUAGUC